rnacentral:rRNA from 1 species
ACGCGAAGAACCUUACCUACCUUUGACAUGUACGGAACCCUGCCGAGAGGUGGGGGUGCCCGAAAGGGAGCCGUAACACAGGUGCUGCAUGGCUGUCGUCAGCUCGUGUCGUGAGAUGUUGGGUUAAGUCCCGCAACGAGCGCAACCCUUGUCCCCAGUUGCUACGCAAGAGCACUCCGGGGAGACUGCCGGUGACAAACCGGAGGAAGGUGGGGAUGACGUCAAGUCCUCAUGGCCCUUAUGGGUAGGGCUUCACACGUCAUACAAUGGUCGGAACAGAGGGUUGCGAAGCCGCGAGGUGGAGCCAAUCCCAGAAAACCGAUCGUAGUCCGGAUUGCAGUCUGCAACUUCGACUGCA